rnacentral:rRNA from 1 species
UACAGAGGUCCCAAGCGUUGUUCGGAUUCACUGGGCGUAAAGGGUGCGUAGGCGGUCGGGUAAGUCUGACGUGAAAUCUCCAAGCUCAACUUGGAAAUGGCGUCGGAUACUAUUCGGCUUGAGGAGUGGAGGGGAGACUGGAAUUCUCGGUGUAGCAGUGAAAUGCGUAGAUAUCGAGAGGAACACCAGUGGCGAAGGCGAGUCCCUGGACAACUCCUGACACUGAGGCACGAAAGCUAGGGGAGCAAACAGG